rnacentral:rRNA from 1 species
GACGAACGCUGGCGGCGUGCUUAACACAUGCAAGUCGAACGGAAAGGCCCUGCUUUUGUUGGGUGCUCGAGUGGCGAACGGGUGAGUAACACGUGAGUAACCUGCCCUGGACUUUGGGAUAACUUCAGGAAACUGGGGCUAAUACCGGAUAGGAGCUCCUGCUGCAUGGGGGGGGUUGGAACGUUUCGGCGGUUGGGGAUGGACUCGCGGCUUAUGAGCUGGUUGGUGGGGUAGUGGCUUACCAAGGCUUUGACGGGUAGCCGGCGUGAGAGGGUGACCAGCCACAUUGCGCCUGCGAUAGGGCCCAGAGGGCAACGGUAGGCAGCGGGGGGGACUCUGGUCCAGUGAGCCGGAGCGUGAUAAGACGGCGUCGGGGGCGUGAUGACGGUUUUUGGGGUGAGAACCGCUUUGGGCUGUGACGAAGCGUGAGUGACGGUACUGGAUGAAGAAGCACCGGCUAACUACGUG